AGUUUUGAACCGCGACGGGUCUUGAACACCCCUAGUCCCCUACCACACACACAAUCUCCUCUCCAGCUCGUUUUCUCUCAGUUAGGGCACGAAUUGAAGCUCCCAAUCUCCCAUUCUCAGGCCCUCUCUGAAACCUCGUUCAGACACCCACCGUCCACCGUCACUGGCCUCACGGUGUUCUUCCUCUCGGAACCGCGUUGCUCUGCUUCUGCUUGACUGCUUCUCGGAACCGGCUGCUCUGCUUCCGUGCUGCACAGCUUCUCCGUGCCGCACUGCUCGCCAGCGAACCUUAGUCAAGACGCCACCAACAGUGGCUGCGAAGUGUGAAGGUCACUGCUCUGCUCCUCUUCUUCUCGGCACUGCUCUUCUUCUUCUCUUGUUCCUCUUCUUCUCGGCGCUGGUGCUCUUCUCCUGAGGAAAGUCAGAAUCUCCUGCUCAGCGCUUCCUUCCGCUGUUAAAGCUCAUUUCGGAUAAAGACUAAUGGGAGGAGAAGAACUUAAUUGUAUUCCUCCACAAAGCAGUGAGGAUACAAAUGCUACCAGCUGUUCUGCCUCUUUUUUGCAUCUGGUCAUCAUCUCUACGUUGGUGUUUAGUGGUAGAAUUUACACCAGUCAAGUCGGAAAAAGCAAAAAAGAGGCCGAACAGUUUGCAGCAUUUGUUACUAUCCAAUCACUUCUAGUUAUACUUUGAAGAAAAUGGACUUAUGAUGAAUCCUUGUGCCUGAAUAAAUAGCUGCUCAAGCUGCAGAAUUUUUACUUUUUAUGGCGUGUAUCCUUUCACAAAAUCUAGUUCAUGUCAAGAUCUUCGUCAAAUAAUCAAGUCCAAGCUCAACAUGCCCAGGAAACUACGUCAUGCCAAGCAAUCUGUCCCAAGUAAGAGUAAUUUCUCAUUAAUUGUAGAUUCGGCUUCCGUUAUCCUUAACUAUAUGUCUUAAUGAUGGUAAUUAUUUGUGGUCUUCCUCAUGAACUAGCAAUAUGUUCCUUGAAGGUUCUUCAAAGCAGAUGAUACUCCACUAAGUUUGAUUUCUUGAAUAACAAGAAAACCAGACCUUAAAAAAAUUUACAAAGAGAAAUGAUGUAUUCUAAUACAUAUGAAAUCGUAUGGUUUUGAUGCACUUUCUUAAGAAACGUGUUAUCUAUUCAGGGUCCAAUUAAGCGAAAGCUUGACUGUAUUAACUUAGAAAGCAAGAAAUAAGCUAGAGAACCUGGUAAGUUUCUUUCUUGAUAGUUUUUGUGUUUUCCGUUAAGUGGUACACAGUAGUAAUAUUAUGGACCUUUAUACUGAACAAGGAACUAAGAUAGUUAGAUGCUAAUUUCUGUUAAUUUAGUUUUUAUUAUUUCUUUGGAUACAUAUAUUCUUUAUGUUAGAAAGUUGUGUCCCAUAAAGUGUGGUGUAACAUUUUUAGGUAAAAUGCUUAAUAGUUUGGGGCUGAUUCUA